GACGAACGCUGGCGGCGUGCUUAACACAUGCAAGUCGAACGAUGAAGCCGCUUCGGUGGUGGAUUAGUGGCGAACGGGUGAGUAACACGUGGGCAAUCUGCCCUGCACUCUGGGACAAGCCCUGGAAACGGGGUCUAAUACCGGAUACGACCAUCGGCCGCAUGGCCUGGGGGUGGGAAGCUCUGGGGGUGCAGGAUGAGCCCGCGGCCUAUCAGCUUGUUGGUGGGGUGAUGGCCUACCAAGGCGACGACGGGUAGCCGGCCUGAGAGGGCGACCGGCCACACUGGGACUGAGACACGGCCCAGACUCCUACGGGAGGCAGCAGUGGGGAAUAUUGCACAAUGGGCGCAAGCCUGAUGCAGCGACGCCGCGUGAGGGAUGACGGCCUUCGGGUUGUAAACCUCUUUCAGCAGGGAAGAAGCUUUCGGGUGACGGUACCUGCAGAAGAAGCACCAGCUAACUACGUGCCAGCAGCCGCGGUAA
rnacentral:rRNA from 1 species